UUUUGUCCGCGAUUCUACAUGAUAUGCUUAUCUUUUUGAUUUUUUGUAUAAAUACCCUCUUAAAUAUCGAAUUUUGCACGAAAAUCCUUCCAAAAUUAAUAUUUGUAUGAAUACCCUCGUAAAAUACUUGUUUUGCUAUGCUAUUCCUUUUUUUUUAUUUUUGUUUUUGUAUACGUGCUCACGCCAUCUAAUGCUAUUAAAAAAUU
rnacentral:lncRNA from 1 species